GCUGACCUUACAGCAAUUCUAUCACUCUACAUUCCAAAGAAAUCCUUCGUCAGCUG
rnacentral:other from 16 species